rnacentral:rRNA from 1 species
GACGAACGCUGGCGGCGUGCCUAAUACAUGCAAGUAGAACGCUGAAGAGAGGAGCUUGCUCUUCUUGGAUGAGUUGCGAACGGGUGAGUAACGCGUAGGUAACCUGCCUUGUAGCGGGGGAUAACUAUUGGAAACGAUAGCUAAUACCGCAUAACAAUGGAUGACACAUGUCAUUUAUUUGAAAGGGGCAAUUGCUCCACUACAAGAUGGACCUGCGUUGUAUUAGCUAGUAGGUGAGGUAAUGGCUCACCUAGGCGACGAUACAUAGCCGACCUGAGAGGGUGAUCGGCCACACUGGGACUGAGACACGGCCCAGACUCCUACGGGAGGCAGCAGUAGGGAAUCUUCGGCAAUGGGGGCAACCCUGACCGAGCAACGCCGCGUGAGUGAAGAAGGUUUUCGGAUCGUAAAGCUCUGUUGUAAGUCAAGAACGGGUGUGAGAGUGGAAAGUUCACACUGUGACGGUAGCUUACCAGAAAGGGACGGCUAAUUACGUG